rnacentral:rRNA from 1 species
UACGUAGGGUGCGAGCGUUGUCCGGAAUUAUUGGGCGUAAAGAGCUUGUAGGCGGUCCGGUAAGUCCGCUGUGAAAGUCGGGGGCUCAACCCUCGGAUGCCGGUGGAUACUGUCGGGCUUGAGUACGGAAGAGGCGAGUGGAAUUCCUGGUGUAGCGGUGAAAUGCGCAGAUAUCAGGAGGAACACCAAUUGCGAAGGCAGCUCGCUGGGACGUUACUGACGCUGAGACGCGAAAGCGUGGGGAGCAAACAGG